CACCGCGGUUAUACGAGAGGCCCAAGCUGACAGCCCAUCGGCGUAAAGAGUGGUUAAAAUACUAGUCAAUUAAAGUGAAACCCCUCCCUAACUGUUGUACGUAUUUGGAGGGAUGAAGCCCCACAACGAAAGUAACUUUAAUCUAUUGAACCCACGAAAGCUAUGGCA
rnacentral:rRNA from 1 species